AAAGUCGUAACAAGGUUUCCGUAGGUGAACCUGCGGAAGGAUCAUUAUUGAAAAAUCCUUUGGAUGUUGCUGGCCUCUAGGGGCAUGUGCACUCCAACUUUUCAACCCACCUGUGAACCUAUUGUAGACCAGAUGAUAACAAAGUCUGUGUCUAUGUUUUUACACACACCCAAAAGUUUAUAGAAUGUUUUUAAAAGAGAUAUACCUCUCUAUAUUAAAUACAACUUUCAACAAUGGAUCUCUUGGUUCUC
rnacentral:misc_RNA from 1 species